AAGGGAAUUUAUUUGAGGAAACUAAAAAUAUAUAUGUAUGUGAUAUUUGUUGUUGCCGAGAGAAGAGAUUGUUGGAAAUUGGAGGAAUGAAUUUGGGGAAAUUACGAAGAAAUUACCAAGUUUUCUUUAAAGAUACUUCAAAAUGAAGUAAAUGAAGGAAAAUCUCAGCGGAAGCCACGAAUUGAAUAAGGUAAGCAGAAGCUGGAGGGACUUUGUUGGCUGAAGAAGAGAUGAUCGGUUAUGGUUGAUAGAUAUAAGCAGAAAAGCUUGGUCGGUGAGAACAAAUUCCUGUUGCAAAUUCCGAGUUUCUUCAAAAAACAAACAGAGGAAGGAGUAAAGAAGAUUUCUGUGGGUUGUGUUGAAGAAUCAUGGCCGGAGAAGAAAGGAAAAAGAAGAAAAUCAGUGGCGGCCGGAGUGGACGGAAAACAGAGUAUCGCCGGUUUUAAGCAAAUUCGUGGAGUUAUAGGCUAAUUCGAAGCUCCAAAUUCGAAGGAUUAUUAGGAAUUCAUGGAAUGAAAAAUCUGGGGAUCAGCUGGUUGAUUGUGAGUGGUUUAUUUUUAAGUAUUUGAUUUAUGAAAUAUAUACACAAUUAUGGUUUGGAAAUGAAACUUAAGCAUGAUCUAUUUUAUAUGUGAUUUAAUUGUGAUUUCCAUGAAAUUAAUCGAUUUUAAUUGGAAAUCAAUAGAUUUUAGCUACUUUGUUGGAAACCAUGUUUACGUUGGAUUUUCUGAAUUAAUUAAAUGAUUUAUGAUUUCAUUUGAAUAUCGUAGAUUUGAUGGAAUAAAUUUCAAACCACUGGACUUUGAAUUUGAUUUAUGAUGUAUUAUGAUAUCAUUGUUGUUAUGAGGGAAGUAGAUUUCAAACCAUUGACUUAGGUACCCAAAGAAUGUUAGCAUACUUUGUGGACGUCCGACGAGGAUUGUCAGCAUGCUCUGACUGGAAUUGUUAUCGUACUCGAGUAUGUCUCGCGAAAACUGUCGAUAUGUGCAUAUGGGACAAGUUAAAUUGGGUACAGGGUUUAGUGAAAUUUUUCCUGGAUAUGACUGGAAUUUAUAUGAAUCAUUCUCUCGUUUAAAUGAGAAGACUUAGGAUCAUGCUAUUCCACUAA